GUGCUCCUCUGGAAGCCCUCUGACUACCAGCCGCUUGUCUCUUCUUCUGCAGUUGAGAAAUAGACGGUCCACAGCAGACAACUUAGAAUGGAAUAAGGGAGAUGUGUUUGAGGCACUACCAUUGGAAGAUGUGCUGGGGAGAAGCCCAGCCCAGCAACAUGCGGCAGGACCACAUCUCGGCAGAGCUGAAGACAGAGACGUUGCAGCCACAAGGACAACUGGCAUGCCUCACAUUCCUCAGUGUUGAAAACAAUAAAAGGAGGGGGAAUGAGAGAAAAAUCAAAUUUCUACGAAGAGAUGUCAGCAGUAAAUUUAAUGCAGCUGCCACAAGCAGAGUGAAUGCAGAGCCAUCAAGAGCCAAGUUCUACAAGAGAUAAAUCAGCUGAGACUACCACUAGACAUCUGCAAGCAGAAGAUUAGGAGAGUAAAUUGGCUGAGACGCAUAUGCAUAUGACCCAGAAACCAAGUUGCGUGAAACUAUCAUGGUUUGUGCCUCGAUAGGUUCAACAAGGACAUGGUGAGAAGAUAGCCAUUUGCAAGCCAGAAAGAGCCGUCACCAGAACG
rnacentral:lncRNA from 1 species